CAGCUGCGCUCCCUGCUAACGCGGGGUUGGCCUGGCUGAGUCUCUGGCGCUGUUGGGGGUUUGCCCCCAGCCCCGGGAAGUGGCUCCCCAGGACGCCUCGAAGGGGCAGAGCUGCUGCUCCCCAGCCAGGAGCCAAGGCCAGCCCAAGGUUUUGUUCUGGACGCCUUUUACUCCAAACGGGGAAGCAGGGUGGCUGGAGUACCUUUGCUGAGGCGUGUCGCACGGGGUUGACCUACUUUCCUCAGGAGGACGCCUUCUGUUCCCUCCUCUCCAUGAUCACAAUGGUCAGUUGGUCACCCACCAUAAGAGGAAGGUGCUGACUGAAGAUCAGGGAGUGAGCGGCAUUGUCGGGAGGGCCACAGAAAUGCCUGGAGAAGACGGACCACAGCACAGUCCGCACCAAACCCAACCCGCUCAACCUUCCAGAAUAUUCCCCAUCCUACCAUGCCUCGCCCCUCCCUCCCCACAUUUCUCAAAGGCCUCUGCCGGCGUGCAGUGUGUGAACCUUUGCCCAGCGUUUGUUGGCAACAUUGCAGCGUUUACAGACUCACCCGUCCGGGCCAUCUGCUCAGAGACACUGCCUGGUUUAGUGUGAACAGCUGUUAGAGAAGGAUGAAGACAGCACCCUCUGCUUCCAGUGUUUCUGUCACUCAUGUCUUUGCCCUGGACCCUGAGUUCUGGGGAGACGCACCCACCUGGCAUGAGAAUCACACAGAACUUUCUGCCAGGGACGAAGCCUCACGCUGGAAGCAGACUGUGGUCCUCAUGAGGUUCUCCUUCGCAAGGGACCCCAGAUGUGCAAUUUUGUUGUCUACAAACUGGGAAUGUAAGUGUUUGCCCUGAGGUGUUUUUCAGAGAACUACUUGAAAUAAUGAAUAUAUCUGCACUUUUGUAUUAUACAAUGUGACUGUAAACGUGAGAGUGUCUUUAAGUCGUAUACUUCAGACUGCAGCGGGCUGGUUAUAGGCUAAACAUCUUUGUCAUUACUGGGUAAUUAAUGCCAAUUGUUCCCUAAAGUGGUCCUAUUAAUUUACACUUCCACCAGCAGCAGAUGCUCCUGACAGCGCUGGAUGGCUGAGACGCUUGCUUCUGCUCGGCUCACGUCUUGUAUUAGGACGAUACAUCCGCCCUUUGUUACGUGACCUUGUGAUCUCCGCCUCUGGAGCAGGCACAGCACAUGUCUGCACCCGGUUGAUGCUGGGUUUGAACCGUGGAGUGGCAGCAGGCGUCUUGUGGGCGAGAGCCUUCAAUCUGCUUGCCUGGCUCGGUUUAGCCAGUGUGCUCUGCUGGUCCCCCGAGAAGCACAACGAUGCUGCAACUGCCCCUUCGGCCUGGGGGCAGAACGGACCCGUGAGGUUAGCCUGGAGUCCAGGCUAGCUCAGCCCAGACGAGUUAAAUCAUAAUCGGCUUGCAAACUGUUGAGAGUGAAUAUAAAUACUGGAAACAAUUGUGAUUUUGAGAUACAGGGUCUGCCUGCAUCCUUAGUUUCACUUUCCACAGCUUCAGUUACUGUGGUAUGAAAAUAUUAAGGUGUUUUGAGAGAGAGAGAGAGAGAGUCCACACUCACAUGAUUUGUAUUACAUUUUAUUGUUACAGUUGUUUAAUUGUUCUCUUAUAUUAUCAGUUGUUGUUGAUCUCUAACUGUGCCUAAUUUAUAAAUUAAACUUUAUCAUAGACGUGUGUGUGUACAGGAAAAAAACAGUCUACAGAGAGCACAGUACUACCUGCAGCUUCAGGCAGCCCACAGGGGUUUUGGAACACAUCACCUAUAAAUAAGGGGGCGGAAGAUGCUAAUGUAAUUUGCUAUACAUCAAAAACUGACAAAAAAUUCUGUUAACAUUAGAGAAAUAAACUAUCAUAGUGUCAUAACAUGGAACACUGGAAAUUGGUGAAAAAUAAAUGAAAUAUAGUUACAUGUGUCUGCAUGAACAAAUACCCCAAACACAAUAUUAUAUACAAAAGCAAGUUUUAGUGUAAUAGCAUUCACAAAAAGUUUUACAAUAAAAACAGAACUGAUAUGUGGUAAAACAAUGUUAUAAAAUGACCAGUGCUAGUUACCUUGGGAAAAUGAAUCAUUCAGGGAUUUCGGCCUGCUGACAAUGUUUUGUUUUCGAAGCUGUGUGGUGUGCCUGUGUCAUGUUAUUAUUCUCGUGCAUUUUAUAGUCUUCGAUAUUACACACUGAAUUUUAAAAUAUAAGAAUGUAAGUUUUUGAGAUAAGUUUUAUGCCUAUGAAAUGCUAUCCAAAUGUUAAUCGUACAUGUUAUUUCUGAGUCUUGGUCAUGUAGGCAUGUGUUGGUAGGAAGUGUGAUGUUUUUCAUUCUGCCAAGAUUGUAUUUUGGUCCACACGCAUGCUGGUGCUGAGAACUUCAGAUGGAUGGGGUCGGAACUCACUCAGGAGGUUGGUUCUUUACCACUGGAAGUCCUCAUGAGGUCUUCUCCCGGAGAUCAAAAUUCAUGAAACAUUUUCUGGGUUACCUCUUCUCCCUCGUCCCACCUGAAGGUGCAUCGGACACUGUUGUCAGUAGAAUAAGUACGUUCUCUACUGGCUGGACUCACCCUGCAAACAGCUGGUGCGAGAUGAUAAAACUGAGACUGUUCUUGUCUCGGAUUUGUUGAGACCUCUCACGUUUUUCAUUCUCUCAUCUGUUUGGUCUGGGAAGUACAGGAAUUAAAACUUAUAUUUUUUGCACCUUAUUGAACUGUUUUAGGUUUAAUCUACUUUUCCUUCUCUGGAUCCUUCAUACAGAAGCUUAGAUAGUUCAUUUUAGACCAUUUUCUGUUUUUCAGUCAGCAUAUAAACGUCUAUCUUAGCAAUACUUCAGCUGCACACGACAAGUCGUGAAGUGUCAUGUUAUUAUUUUCAUACAGUUCAAAAUGUUCUCUAAUUUCCCCUGAUUUGUCCUUCAACUCACAGGUUAUUUAUAAGGAUGUUAUUGAAGUUCCAAGUAAUUGGUGAUUUUUGAAGUAUAUUGUUGUUGGUUUUUAACCUAAUUCUACUGUGCUCAGAGAACAUACUCCACAAGACGUUGGUGCUAUUAAAUGUAUUAAAACUUAUUUCAAAACCAACACAUAGCCUUUGCUUUUUGUUUUUUGUUUUUGUUUUUGUUUU